CAGAAGGGGCCGAUUUCGAAUAACUAGGGUACCCUAGUUAUUUGAAAUCUCUUCCUCUCCCCCUUCCGAAACAUCACGCUCGAUUUCAACAGCGGCGGGGAGCUCGCUCUCUCUUCACUUGUGUUCUCUACGAAUCGCAGAGGCUGGGCUAGAGUUGAUUUGAGAUUUGGUGAAGUCAUGUGGCAACCAAGGAAUUGAGGGUGAAGCAUUACAAUUUGGAUUUUCAUGAUAUGGAGUCUUCUGAAACACUAUUAUUAUUACUUUUUUUUUUUUUUUUUUGAGACUAUAAGAUGAAACACUUUGGAUUUGUAUAAUUGAGAGUAU
rnacentral:lncRNA from 1 species